CAGUAGCCGCGGUAAUACGUAGGCAGCAAGCGUUGUUCGGAGUUACUGGGCGUAAAGGGUGUGUAGGCGGCUCUCUAAGUUUGGUGUGAAAUCUCCCGACUCAACCGGGAGGGUGCGCCGAAUACUGAAGGGCUAGAGUACGGGAGAGGAAAGUGGAAUUCCUGGUGUAGCGGUGAAAUGCGUAGAUAUCAGGAGGAACACCGGUGGUGUAGACGGCUUUCUGGACCGUAACUGACGCUGAGACACGAAAGCGUGGGUAGCAAACAGGAUUAGAUACCCCGGUAGUCCCUGUCUCUUAUAC
rnacentral:rRNA from 1 species